UGGGGAAUAUUGCACAAUGGGCGCGAGCCUGAUGCAGCCAUGCCGCGUGUAUGAAGAAGGCCUUCGGGUUGUAAAGUACUUUCAGCGAGGAGGAAGGCGUUGUGGUUAAUAACCGCAACGAUUGACGUUACUCGCAGAAGAAGCACCGGCUAACUCCGUGCCAGCAGCCGCGGUAAUACGGAGGGUGCAAGCGUUAAUCGGAAUUACUGGGCGUAAAGCGCACGCAGGCGGUCUGUCAAGUCGGAUGUGAAAUCCCCGGGCUCAACCUGGGAACUGCAUCCGAAACUGGCAGGCUAGAGUCUUGUAGAGGGGGGUAGAAUUCCAGGUGUAGCGGUGAAAUGCGUAGAGAUCUGGAGGAAUACCGGUGGCGAAGGCGGCCCCCUGGACAAAGACUGACGCUCAGGUGCGAAAGCGUGGGGAGCAAACA
rnacentral:rRNA from 1 species